CAGAUGAAAUGCGCUAAAAAAGAGUUUUAACUCAAACUGUUUUAACUCAAAGUCGAAAAUUAUGAAAUACCCAUGAGAAAUAUCAAACACAAAUGCAAUACAGAAAUAGAUAAGUUAAGACGUGACCAUUGUACAAAAAUGCUGACUGGGUCAUGAGGUCAGAAAAGAAGAAGAAAAAAAAAACAGGUCAAGAAGAACUGACAAAAAUAAUUGCAAAAUAAUUAGGAAUUAAUGUGAAGAUUAAUUUUUAGUCAAUUCUGCAAGACAGACUUUCAGGAAAGGAGGUGGAAUAAAAAUGAGCUCCUAAAUCUUAAUCCCGGAUUCUGGAAGAUAUAUUCCUCAAACCAUCGGACAAGAGGAGGUGGUGCUGGUCCUUCACGAGUCACUCUAAUCUGUUCAUAAAGCCUAUAUAUAAAGUCUUAAUAUAUAGUAUUUCACAAUACUUCAUGGUAUUCUAAUUAAAUCAUUUUUUGGAAUCUUAGAUCUCUCAGAACCUGACACAUUGUAAUUCUGAGACUCCAGGAAAGUGGCAGUUCUGUAAAAUGUUGGCACUGGAGACUAAAUGCUCCCUGAUAGUUUCACACCUAAUUCACUUAACACACACACACACACACACAUUACCCACGGUGACAGAGGGACAGAGUGACAUCAGAUGUAUGAUAGUUUUUUAAUUUUCUAUCAUCCAUAUAGUGUUGUAUAGUCAUGAAACUAUGCAUAUUUCCUCAG